rnacentral:rRNA from 1 species
UACGUAGGGUGCGAGCGUUAAUCGGAAUUACUGGGCGUAAAGCGUGCGCAGGCGGUUCGUGAUGUCUGAUGUGAAAGCCCCGGGCUCAACCUGGGAAUUGCAUUGGAAACUAGCGGGCUGGAGUGUGGCAGAGGGGGGUGGAAUUCCACGUGUAGCAGUGAAAUGCGUAGAGAUGUGGAGGAACACCAGUGGCGAAGGCGGCUUUCUGGUCUGUAACUGACGCUGAGGCGCGAAAGCGUGGGGAGCAAACAGG